rnacentral:lncRNA from 1 species
AUGCCUGAAAUCCUUUUUGUUAAAGGAAAUGUCAUUUCAAGGCAGAAAUUCAAGCACCUUGGAGCAAUCACUGGUUUCGAAGAGACUGCUUCUAUCAUUUAUGGUGGUACAGGAAAGGACAAGUUUAAGAAGGACAAUCCCCUUCAAGCUGUUCUUCAGCCAUAUAAAUUGAACUCACGAAGGUUUAUCUGUGUAAUCCCUGCCUCCACUUUGCUUGCCUGCCUCAUUGGGAUGCAGGGUGCCUGGUUUCUCAGUGUUCAUCACAGCACAGCUCCCACUGCCUACAGUUUGCAGUGGCAAGUGCUCAACACUUCUACAAAUUACACUCCUCCAUACCAAGCACCUCCAGAAACACAGUUAACAACCACAUGUGCAAAGUGACUCCUAUCACACAGGAAAUCUGUGGCAAAGGCAGGGAUACGAUUCAGUUCCCCAGGGCUGCACUCAUGCCUUAAUCGUGAAAACAUUGUUUCCUUCUCUACAGUUGUCUGCUUCACUCACUGUGUCCUUACAACGGCUGCAACAAAGUACAGAUUGCACAGAGGUUUUACUAUGCAGUGAUUCAUCCUCCAGCGCAGGUCCUUUCUGUGCGCUAAAUAACACAGAGGAGCCACGGAAAACUCUCUGCCCAAAGGAAUGACAUGCAGUUCCCUCUGCCUCACCACUCACAUAAUCCACCAGAGUCCUUGUCCUUUUGUCUGCCUCUUCUACCACCAAGAGAGUUGGGUGCAUGGGAGUGAUGGGAUUCCUGAUCCAAUUCCUGCGCUUAAUCAGGCCCGACUGCAGCAGCAGCGAGCGGCAGGAUCAGGGGAAAAUGUUUUGAACGCCAGUAGCCCCAGGGCUGGAGCGUGCCCAGAUGUUUCAUGGAAUGGCUCUGGCAGACCAGUCACACACAGGUGUUUAUUGGCUUGAAGUAAAAGUCAGGAAUACCAAGAAUAAUUCAUCUGCCACUUGGCUCUUCAAACAGAACAGGAACGAGCACAACGUGCAAAUCUAAACGGCAGAUAACAGCAGCUCUUAGCUAACACACACACUUUACCCGCGGAGCUGCUUGCCUGAUGAACUUUUUAUUUUCCUGGAAUGAACUCAUUUGAGUUAUGAAAACUGAUUAUGCAUAUUGUUACAGGCACGCAGCCAAGCAACCGUACAACUUGCUUUUUCACUAAUAUCUGUCAUUUUUAGGAACAAAACAUGCUGCUGCUAACUGCAAGUAUAAAUCUACUUCUUAGAAAUAUGAUUUGCAGUUUACUUUCUCUUUACAUUUAAAAGCUAUUUAAAAGCAAAAUAAAUCUAGCUGGAUCAAAAGUAGCA